rnacentral:piRNA from 1 species
UAGAGAUCUGGUACGGGUGUGUGA